AUUGAACGCUGGCGGCAGGCCUAACACAUGCAAGUCGAGCGAGCGGCGGACGGGUGAGUAAUGUAUGGGGACUGCCCGAUAGAGGUGGAUAACUACUGGAAACGGUAGCUAAUAACGCAUACUAUCGGAUAACCCAGAUGGGAUUAGCUAGUAGGUGAGGUAAUGGCCCACCUAGGCGACGAUCCCUAGCUGGUCUGAGAGGAUGAUCAGCCACACUGGGACUGAGACACGGCCCAGACUCCUACGGAGGCAGCAGUGGGGAAUAUUGCACAAUGGGGGCAAGCCUGAUGCAGCCAUGCCGCGUGUGUGAAGAAGGCCUUCGGGUUGUAAAGUACUUUCAGUAGGGAGGCGUUACCGACAGAAGAAGCACCGGCUAACUCCGUGCCAGCCGCCGCGGUAAUUC
rnacentral:rRNA from 1 species